GUGCUUAACACAUGCAAGUCGAGUGCGCGGUUGUAGCAAUACAACUGGCGCACGGCGCACGGGUGCGUAACACGUGGGCAAUCUGCCCUCCGAUGGGGAAUAACUCCGGGAAACCGAAGCUAAUUCCGCAUAACAUUCCCUGGACUCUGGUUCGGGGAUUCAAAGCAGCAAUGCGUCGGAGGAGGAGCCCGCGCCCGAUUAGCUAGUUGGUGAGGUAACGGCUCACCAAGGCAAUGAUCGGUAGCUGGUCUGAGAGGAUGGCCAGCCACACUGGAACUGAGACACGGUCCAG
rnacentral:rRNA from 1 species